UCAGAUCACUGAAGUUAAGCAAUAUCAGGCCUGGUCAGUACCUAGAUGGGUGACCACUUGGGAAUACUAAUUGCUGUAAG